rnacentral:misc_RNA from 1 species
GUAGGUGAACCUGCGGAAGGAUCAUUAACACGUAUCCAACGUUAAACAACCCUGUGAACUUUCAGACGCUCUUGUAGCCCAAGCGGAACAGCAAUCCCGGUAAAUCAAUGGCGGAAAGAGUUUGAUUCGGGACCUCUGUCCAUCAGGUUACAAUCGUAGCUAGGAGCAGUGGCAUGGUUUCCUGAAGCAGUGCCGAAGGAUGCACUGAGUACGGAUAACGCAUCACGGUUGCUAGAGGUCGAUCACCGGCCGGCAGACAUGUCACCCCUUAAUCACCCCUUGCCUAAUCACGCCCCGCGGAAACGCCGGGCACUAAAAACCGAACAACUGUUAACAAUGGAUAUCUUGGUUCUC